rnacentral:rRNA from 3 species
GAAUGCUGACAUAAGUAACGAUAAAGCGGGUGAAAAGCCCGCUCGCCGGAAGACCAAGGGUUCCUGUCCAACGUUAAUCGGGGCAGGGUGAGUCGACCCCUAAGGCGAGGCCGAAAGGCGUAGUCGAUGGGAAACAGGUUAAUAUUCCUGUACUUGGUGUUACUGCGAAGGGGGGACGGAGAAGGCUAUGUUAGCCGGGCGACGGUUGUCCCGGUUUAAGCAUGUAGGCUGGUUAUCCAGGCAAAUCCGGAUAAUCAAGGCUGAGGUGUGAUGACGAGGCACUACGGUGCUGAAGUAACAAAUGCCCUGCUUCCAGGAAAAGCCUCUAAGCAUCAGGUAACAUCAAAUCGUACCCCAAACCGACACAGGUGGUCAGGUAGAGAAUACCAAGGCGCUUGAGAGAACUCGGGUGAAGGAACUAGGCAAAAUGGUGCCGUAACUUCGGGAGAAGG